rnacentral:ncRNA from 1 species
UAUGUCAAUCAGUGCUUAGCAAUUCACACACCAGACAAAAAAACUGGUAUGGAGGCAAGAUUUCAAGGCAAAAAGUCGCUCUUUAGCAUGUGCAGAUAUUUUUCACUGGGAGGUUUAGAUCGAAGAUGAUCAGACACCGUCGUAGUUCCAACUAUAGACAAUGCCAACUAUCAAUUUGGUGGCAUUAUUCCCAUGAACUGCAGAGCAGCUUUCAAGAAACCAAAGUCUUUGGGUUCCAGGGGGAGUAUGGUUGCAAAGCUGAAACUUAAAGGAAUUGAUGGCACCACCAGAUGUGGAGCCUGCAGCUUAAUUUGACUCAACACAGGAAACCUCACCCAACCCAGACAUGGAAAGGAUUGACAGAUUGAUAGCUCUUUCUCCAUUCUAUGGGUGGUGGUGCAUGGGAGCUCUUAGUUGGUGGAGCGAUUUGCUGGUUCAUUCCAAUAACAAACGAAACUCCUUCAUGCUAACUAGUUUUGCGACCCCUGGCUUCUUAGAGGAACAAGUGGCAACACGAGAUUGAGCAAUAACAGGUCUGUGAUGCCCUUAGAUGUCCGGGGCUGCACGCGCGAUACACUGCAUGUAUCAGUGAUCAGCGUGUGUCUACCCUUUGCCAACAGGUGCGGGUAACCCGCUGAACCCCGUUCGUGAUAGGGAUCGGGCAUUGCAAUUAUGAAGUAAAGUAAAUGUAGGUCAUAAACUCACAUUGAUAAGUCCCUGUCAGUUGUACACACUGCCCGUCACUACCACCGAUUGGAUGGUUUAGUGAGGUCCUCGAAUCUGCCCCUCCAGGGUCGGCCACGGCCGUGGCACAGCACCAAGAAGACAAUCAAGCUUUAAUAUUUAGAGGAAGUAAAAGACGUCACAGGGUUUCUGUAUGUGAACCUGUGGAAGG